CCCUUAGAUGUCCUGGGCUGCACGCGCGUUACACUGAUGUGUCCAGUAAGCACCUAACCUAUUCCGAGAGGAGCGGGUAACCUUAGCAAAGCACAUCGUGAUGGGGAUAGAUUAUUGCAAUUAUUAGUCUUGAACGAGGAAUUCCUAGUAAGCACAAGUCAUCAGCUUGUGUUGAUUACGUCCCUGCCCUUUGUACACACCGCCCGUCGCUCCUACCGAUUGAAUGUUCCGGUGAGCUCUUCGGACUGCGCGGUCUGCAGUUUCUGCGUUCCGUGCGGAAAGUUGUGCAAACCUUAACAUUUAGAGGAAGGAGAAGUCGUAACA
rnacentral:rRNA from 1 species